rnacentral:rRNA from 1 species
UACAGAGGUCUCAAGCGUUGUUCGGAUUCAUUGGGCGUAAAGGGUGCGUAGGUGGCGGGGUAAGUCAGGUGUGAAAUUUCGGAGCUUGAACUCCGAAACCUGCAUUUGAUACUGCCUUGCGUUGAGGACUUGGAGAGAGACUGGAAUUCACGGUGUAGCAGUGAAAUGCGUAGAUAUCGUGAGGAAGACCAGUGGCGAAGGCGGGUCUCUGGACAGUUCCUGACACUGAGGCACGAAGGCCAGGGGAGGACAAACGGG